ACGCUAAUACCGCAUAUUCUGUGAGCAGGAAAGAGGGGGAUCGCAAGACCUCUUGCUUUAGGAGCGGCCGAUGUCGGAUUAGCUAGUUGGUGAGGUAAAGGCUCACCAAGGCGACGAUCCGUAGCGGGUCUGAGAGGAUGAUCCGCCACACUGGGACUGAGACACGGCCCAGACUCCUACGGGAGGCAGCAGGUGGGGAAUUUUGGACAAUGGGCGCAAGCCUGAUCCAGCCAUGCCGCGUGAGUGAAGAAGGCCUUCGGGUUGUAAAGCUCUUUCGGUGGGGAAGAAAUUGCUUCGGUUAAUACCUGGAGUAGAUGACGGUACCCGCAUAAGAAGCACCGGCUAACUACGUG
rnacentral:rRNA from 1 species